rnacentral:lncRNA from 1 species
AAAUUUUAGUGAGAGAUCACCUUAUAAUGCUACCGUCGUUCUUAGCAAAAUAGGGUGCAUAAAAGGAUUAACAUCACAUGUAAUUCAUAAGUGACAUGAUAUGGCCAUCAUCUUGUGCUUCUUGAUCUCCAUCACUUAAGCACCAGCAUGAUCUUCUUGUCACCGGCGCCACACCAUGAUCUCCAUCAUCAUGAUCUCCAUCAACGUGUCGCCAUCGAGGUUGUCAUGCUAUUUAUGCUAUUACUACUAAAGCUAUGACCUAGCAAUAUAGUAAACGCAUCUGCAAACACAAACGUUAGUUUAAAGACAACCCUAUGGCUCGUGCCGGUUGCCGUAGCAUCGACGUGCAAGUUGAUUUAACUAUUAGAACAUGAUCAUCUCAUACAUCCAAUAUAUCACAUCACGUCAUUAGCCAUAUCAUAUCACAAGCAUACCCUGCAAAAACAAGUUAGACGCCCUCUAAUUUGUUGUUGCAUGUUUUACGUGGCUGCUAUGGGUAUCUAGUAUGAUCGCAUCUUACUUAUCAAAAACCACAACGGAGAUGUGAAAAUUGCUAUUUAACCUCUCCAAGGACCGCCUCGGUCAAAAGCAAUUCAACUAAAGUUGAAGAAACAGGCACCCGCCAGUCAUCUUUAUGCAACGAGGUUGCAUGUCAAUUGAUGAAACCAGCCUCUCGUAAGCGUACGAGUUAUGUCAGUCCGGGCCGCUUCAAUCCAACAAUACCGCCGAAUCGAGAAAAGACUAAGGAGGGCAGCAAAUCGACCAUCACCAUCCACAAAACCUUUUGUGUUCUACUCGAGAUAACAUCUAUACAUGAACCUAGCUCUGAUACCACUGUUGGGGAACGUUGCAUGGGAAACAAAAAAUUUCCUACGCACACGAAUACCUAUCAUGGUGAUGUCCAUCUACGAGUGGAGAUUAGAUCUAUGUACCCUUGUAGACUACUCAGCGGGAAGCGUUAAGAAACGCGGUUGAUGUUGGAACAUCUUCACGUCCCUCGAACCGUCUCACAAACCGUCCCGCGAUCCGUCCCACAUCCGUUCCGAUCUAGCGCCGAACGAACGACACCUCCACGUUCAGCACACGUACAGCUCGACGAUGAUCUCGUCCUUCUUGAUCCAGCAAGCAAAAUCGAGAUCUAGAUGAGUUCUCCAGCAGCGUGACGGAGCUCCGGUGGUGGUGAUGAUCUACUCUUGUAGGGAUCCGCCCGAGCUUCGUAGAAAUCGAUCUAGAGGUAAAACUAUGUGGAAUAGGCUAGAGUUGCACGUGGCAAAGUUGUGUCUCAAAAAGCACUAAGCCACCACUAUAUAUAGGAGGAAGGGGAGGGGCUAGCCUUGAGGCACAAGGCUUCAAGGUGCGCCGGCCGCCAGGAGGAGGAGGACUCCUCCUCCAAUUCGGUUUGGGAAGGAGGAGUCCUCCUCUUCCUUCCCACCUCCCUCUUUCCUUUUUUCUUCUUCUUUUCUUUUGGUAUUUUCUUAUGUGGCACCAUAGCCCUCUUGGGCUGACUCCACCAGACCAAUAAGGACUUGGUGCACCACCCUAGGGCCUUGGUCUCACUCCCGGGUGGGUGGGCCCUUUCCGGUAAACACCCGGAACCCAUUCGUCACUCUCGGUACAUUACAGGAAUUGCCCAAUACUUUCCGGUGACCAAAUGAAACCAUCCUAUAUAUGAAUCUUCGUUUACGGGCCAUUCCGGUAACUCUCGUGACGUCCGUGAUCUCAUUCGGGACUCCUAACAACAUUCGGUAACCACACAUAUAACUCAACUAUACUAGAACAUCACCGAACCUUAAGUGUGCAGACCCUGCGGGUUCGAGAACUAUGUAGACAUGACCCGAGGCACUCCUCGGUCAAUAUCCAAUAGAGGGACUUGGAUGCCCAUAUUGGAUCCUACAUAUUCUCCGAAGAUCUUAUCGGUUGAACCUCAGUGUCAAGGAUUCAUAUAAUCCUGUAUGUCAUUCCCUUUGUCCUUCGGUAUGUUACUUGCCCGAGAUUUGANNNNNNNNNNNNNNNNNNNNNNNNNNNNNNNNNNNNNNNNNNNNNNNNNNNNNNNNNNNNNNNNNNNNNNNNNNNNNNNNNNNNNNNNNNNNNNNNNNNNGGAUACCUUUGCUUGGAAGGAGUCAGGACUUCGGAAACAUAAUAUACUGGCCGCUGAACCUUGUACGCUUUGCCUUCUUCUUCACGUUCGACUGUCAGAACGGUGUUGACGACUUGAUUUGUAGCCGCGAUGUACAGAAGAAGGGGUUCUUUACUUAGCGGGGCAGUAAGAACCGGAUGGGUGGAGAGCAGGGCUUUGAGGUCGUCGAAUGCGGUUUGGGCUUCGUCUGUCCACUCGAAGGUAUCCGACUUCUUCAUGAGUCGGUACAGAGGUAACGCCUUCUCACCGAGUCGAGCGAUAAACCUGCUCAAAGCCGCUAGGCAACCUGUGAGCUUUUGUAUGUCAUGUACUCUUACCGGCCGCUCCAUUCGAACAAUGGUCCCGAUCUUCUCGGGGUUAACGUCGAUCCCUCGUUCGGAAACAAAGAAACCGAGUAACUUCCCGCUGGGAACGCCGAAUGAACACUUGGCUGGGUUGAGCUUGAUAUCGUACCUACGUAGGUUGGCGAAUGUUUGUGCCAAGUCGGUCAGUAGGUCGGAACCUUUGCGUGACUUGACUACGAUAUCGUCCAUAUAUGCCUCCACAUUUCGACCAAUCUGGUCUAGGAGGCAUUUUUGGAUCAUUCGCAUAAAAGUUGCUCCUGCAUUCUUCAAACCGAAUGGCAUAGUGAUGUAACAGAAGCACCCGAAUGGGGUGAUGAAAGAUGUUUUUAAUUCAUCUGGACCAUACAGACGGAUCUGAUGAUAGCCCGAAUAGGCAUCAAGGAAGGAUAAGCGCUCGCAACCCGCAGUCGAAUCAACAAUUUGAUCAAUGCGGGGGAGCGGGAAGUGGUCUUUCGGACGUACCUUAUUAAGGUGCUUGAAAUCGAUGCACAUACGGAGAGACUUGUCCUUCUUGGGCACCAUGACCACAUUAGCAAGCCACUUGGAGUGGUGUACCUCGCGAAUGAAGUUGGCCGCCAGAAGUUUAGCUACCUCCUCUCCGAUUGCUUUUCUCUUGUGCGCGGCGGACCGACACAGGCCUUCUCGGACCGGCCGAGCGGCAGGAUCCACAUGCAGUCGGUGCUCAGCCAACUCCCUGGGUACACCUGGCAUGAUAGCAGGCUUCCAUGCAAAAAUGUCCCAGUUCUCACGGAGGAAUUGGAUGAGCUCGACUUCCUAUUUUGGAUCAAGGGUGGUGGAGAUGUUUGUUGGGGUGGCGGUGGCAUCCGUCGGGUGGACGCUUACUUUCUUCGUGUCUCUCGCCGGCUGGAAUGCGGACUCGGAAGCUCGCUUCUUUGAACGCAUCAGGUCAGCUGGGUCGACAAUCUUCUUGUACUCAUCCAACUCGAGUACAGCCAUCUGCUGGUCUGCAAUUCUCGACCCCUGCUGCAGACACUCCUCGGCCCGCUGCCGAUUGCCUGUGACAGUAAUCACGCCUUUGGGGCCAGGCAUCUUCAGCUUCAAAUAUACGUAACAUGGACAGGCCAUGAAACAUACGUAUGCCGGACGGCCCAGAAUGGCAUGGUAUGCACUCUGGAAGUUUACCACCUCGAAUGUUAACUUCUCUUUGUGGAAGUUCUUGUCAGAGCCGAAAACGAAAUCCAACGCAAUCUGGCCGAGUAAUUUGGCCUUUCUUCCUAGGACGACUCCAUGGAAUUGCAUACUGCUCUCGCUAACUCUGGACAUCGAAAUGCCCAUUCCCUUGAGAGUAUCAGUGUACAUGAUAUUCAAGCCGCCGUCGCCGUCCAUGAGGACUUUGCGCAGCCUAACUCCUUCCACCACCGGGUCGACAACCAGAGCUUGCCUCCCUGGGGUGGGUACGUGUGCUGGGUGGUCUGACUGAUCAAAGGUGAUUGCAGUCUAUGACCACUUGAGGAACGUGGAAGUGCAUGGGGUUGCCAUGUUUACCUCCCUGUUGACCAGCUUUAGUCGACUUUUUCUUUCUACAUCAACAAAAAUCAUUAACGUUGCAUGGACUUGAGGGAACGGAUCCUCCUUGUCCUCAUCAUCUUGCUCGGUGUCUUCCUCACUCGGCUGUCCUACACCGAAUCCUUGGAUCAGGAGGCGACACUCCCCAGUGGUAUGUUUCGGCAAUAUGACAUUGCCUUCUUCAUCCGUCUUCGUGUGGAUUGGACACGGUUGAUCUAGGAUGGAAUUUCUGAUUGUUUCUUCUUGGGGGUGUACUGUGCUUUCCCCUUGCCUUUGAACUUAGUGUUUGUAACGACUACCGCCUCUGCUAGCGGAGUGGAUUGAGCUUUCUGUUUCUGCUUCCGACUGCUGUUCCCAUCUCCAUCAGCGACUGACUUAUGCUUGCCGCUACGUAUGCGGUCCUCCUCUUCGCCAUUUGCAUAGCGCGCGGCUAUCUCCAUCAUUUUGCUCAUGGAGAUGUCGCUUGUCCGACCAAACUUCAGGCAUAGAUCUCUGUACCGAACGCCUGCCUUGAAGGUGCAAACUGCUUGGUGUUCUGUAACAUUCUCCAUCAUGUGGUAGAGGGUCGUCCACCGUUGGAUGAAAUCGCGCAAGGGCUCGUUUUAAUUCUGGACACAGUGCUGAAGCUCUAUGAGACCAGCACGGCGUUUGCACGUACCCUCAAAGGUCCUGAUGAAGACUCGGGACAGAUCUGCCCAACUGUAAAUGCUUGAUAGAGCUAACUAGUUUAGCCAAGCUCGAGCCGAACCGUCGAGCAUCAGUGGGAGAUGUUUCAUGGUGACAUGGUCAUCUCCGCCACCGAUCUGGACCGCCACUCUGUAGUCGUCUAACCAAGUUUCUGGUUUGGACUCUCCUGUGAAUUUGCUGAUUCCCGUCGCCAAUCGGAAGUUGGGAGGGAUGUCAGCCGAGCAGAUGGCCCGACUGAAGCACUUGGGACCAGAAAUAAUGGUCCUGCUUCCACUCAGACGGUCUCUAUCGUGACCAUCACGGUGGGCUCGACUUCUAUCGACCUUCUUCUGAGUGAUAUACCCUCUUGCAUCAGGCCUUUGCUCAUGCACACCACCGCCCGAACGAUGAUCAUCGUAAUGCCGGGGUCCGUAAGGCCCACUCCGCGGAGGAGUACGCUAACGGCGACGAUCUUCGGGAUGAGACCGAAUGGAAAGCGGAUUCCGACUCGGGUCCCUGGAACGGCUGCCCCCUUUGCGUCGCUAGUGAGAGUCGGGACUGAAAACCAAUCGAUGUGUGUUCGCUUGAACGGAAUUGUUGUGGAUCUUGUUGUGCGACUGGGAGACCGCCGAGUUUUGCUGCUGCGCCGUAUGUAACAAGGCACGAAUCUGCUCGAUUCCACUACCAGCCUCCAAAUCAGUCGGCUAGAGAGAAUCAGCUAUCCUGGCGGCUGCAGCCAAGUUGAGGAUGGGUGUGUGGAACACCUCGACGUUGCUCUGGCGAGUGCGUCCAUUGGAAGAACGAAGGUGCUGACGACGAGCGCCAUAUGAUUCUCCGAACUCAAGCUCGUUCCGACCAGUCCCGAGGGGACUUUCGUGGGAAUCGGCCAUGAGUACUUCGGCUGCAGGCCCGUGACCCUGAUACUCGGAAGGUAGUUCAGUCGGAACUGACUCCAAGCACUGGGAUGACGGCGGGACCACAACCGAUUCGAGCACCGCCACUUGAGAGGACAUGUUUUGUCACGCUAGGGCGUGUCGCACCCAACGCUGGAGCCGCGACCAACCGGAUCGCUUGUUGCGGUGCAUGACGGGGGCAAAGAUCGACACUCGGGUUGAUGGCUGGAGAAGAAGAAUGCCGCAGGAACUGGCACGGAAGUGCGUAGCGCCGCGACACAGAAGCGUCUCGAUGUCGACGGGCGCAUCCUGAAGCCAUGCCGAAUCAUCGGCGAUGAAGGAGAGUGCACAGAAGAGGAUCUCAUGACCCAUGCACAGAUCUCCGCUGGAUGACAUGACGAAAACAUGAAAUUGCAAACUCGCCGGAAGCCGCUUAGACGCCUGCCCCAUGGUGGGCGCCAACUGUCGUGGGUAUAAGUCUGACAAUAGAAGUAUGGGGUACGAAAGUAUAUGGGCAGAGCCUUAGCUACGGCAAGGAUGUAUGAGUUCAGGCCCCUCUAUGGUGGAGGUAAAAGCCCUACGUCUCAGUGCUCUUGGGAGCUUUGUGUCGAGUGUAUUGUGGGAUUACAGCAAGUGCCAACCCCUGUUCCAGUGGUGAAGGGCGGCUUAUAUAGAGUGCGCUGCCCUUCAUAAUGGCCCGGUGGAUAGGAGUGGAGUAGUGGCGAGUAAAGGCUGGCGUUACUGGUAACGUAAGCCUUAAAAAUGCUAGUUAUGGUGUAUGAAAACGCAUGACAGUUGCCCUCCUGGGAGGUUACGACGUACAGAGUGGAUUCCAGUCGGUACGUUAGAUAUGCUGCGAGUGGAUCGUCGCCGACUGAAUGAUGGGGGCGUCUUUAGUUUAGUCGGAACUGUCUAAGGGCCUUGUCCUCUAUGAAGGGUAGUCCUUGGGUAGGAUCUAUAGGGCAGACCUAUGACCCUACCCUGGGGCUAUAACCCCAUCAAUCAUGUUUUGCCCGUGGAAGAGGUUUAGUCAGCGGGUCUGCUACAUUCAGAUCCGUGUGCACUUUGCAAUUAUUCACGUCCUCUCCUUCGACGUAGUCGCGGAUGAGGUUGAAGCGUCGUUUGAUGUGUCUGGUCUUCUUGUGAAACCUCGGUUCCUUUGCUAGAGCAGUGGCACCAGUGUUGUCAUAGAACAGAGUUAUUGGAUUUAGUGCGCUCGACACAACUCCAAGAUCCGUCAUGAACUGCUUCAUCCAGACACCCUCCUUUCCUGCCUCCGAGGCAGCCAUGUACUCUGCUUCACAUGUAGAAUCUGCUACGACGCUUUGCUUGGAACUUCACGAGCUUACCGCACCCCCAUUAAGAAUAAAUACGUAUCCAUUUUGCGACUUAGAGUCAUCCGGAUCAGUGUCAAAGCUUGCGUCGAAGUAACCUUUUACGACGAGCUCUUCGUCACCUCCAUAAACGAGAAACAUUUCUUAGUCCUUUUCAGGUACUUCAGAAUAUUCUUGACCGCCGUCCAGUGAUCCACUCCUGGAUUACUCUGAAACCUGCCUGCCAUACUUAUGGCCAAGCUGAUGUCUAGUCUAGUGCAUAGCAUUGCAUACAUGAUAGAACCUAUGGCUGAAGCAUAAGGGAUGGAACUCAUUUGUUCUCUAUCUUCCGCAGUUGCUGGGCACCGAGUCUUACUCAAUUUUAUACCUUGUAACAUUGGCAAGAACCCUUUCUUGGACUGUUCCAUUUUGAACUUCUUCAAAACUUUAUCAAGGUAUGUGCUUUGUGAAAGUCCUAUCACGCGUCUUGAUCUAUCCCAAUAGAUCUUAAUGCCUAGAAUGUAAGCAGCUUCUCCUAGGUCCUUCAUAGAGAAUUUUUAUUCAAGUAAUCCUUUACGCUCUCCAAAAACUCCACGUUGUUUCCAAUCAGCAAUAUGUCAUCCACAUAUAAUGUUAGAAACGCCAUAGAGCUCCCACUCACUUUCUUGUAAAUACAAGAUUCUCCAACCACUUGUAUAAACCCAAAUGCUUUGAUCACCUCAUCAAAGUGCUUAUUCCAACUCCGUGAUGCUUGCACCAGUCCAUAAAUGGAUCGCUGGAGCUUGCAUACUUUGUCAGCAUUCUUUGGAUCGUCAAAACCUUCGGGUUGCAUCAUAUACAACUCUUCCUUAAGAAAACCAUUAAGGAACUCCGUUUUGACAUCCAUCUGCCAGAUUUCAUAAUCGAAAAAUGCAGCUAUUGCUAACAUGAUUCGGACGGACUUAAGCAUCGCUACCGGUGAGAAUGUCUCAUUGUAGUCAAUUCCUUGAACUUUUGAAAAACCCUUUGCCACAAGUCGAGCUUUGUAAAUGGCACAUUACCGUCUGCGUCCGUCUUCUUCUUAAAGAUCCAUUUGUUCUGAAUAGCCUUGCGGCCUUCAGGUAGUACUUCCAAAGUCCACACUUUGUUUUUGUACAUAGAUCCUAUCUUGGACUUCAUGGCCUCCAGCCAUUUGUUGGAAUCCGGGCCCACCAUUGCUUCUUCAUAAUUCGCAGGUUCAUUGUUGUCUAACAACAUGAUUGAUAAGACAGGAUUACCGUACCACUCAGGAGUAGUACGUGAUCUUGUCGACGUGCGAGGUCCGAUAGGAACUUGAUCUGAAGUUUCAUGAUCAUCAUCAUCAACUUCGUCCUCAACCGGCGUCACAACGAUAGGGGUUACCCCUUGCCCUGCGCCACCAUCUAGAGGGACUAGAGGCUCGAGAACCUCAUCCAGUUCUAUCUUCCUCCCACUCAAUUCUUUCGAGAGAAACUCCUUCUCAAGAAAAGCUCCAUUUUUAGCAACAAACACUUUGCCCUCGGAUUUGAGAUAGAAGGUGUACCCAACUGUCUCCUUUGGGUAACCUAUGAAGACACACCUUUCCGCUUUGGGUUCGAGCUUUUCAGGCUGAAGCUUUUUGACAUAAGCAUCACAUGCCCAAACUUUAAGAAACGACAACUUUGGUCUUUUGCCAUACCACAGUUCGUAUGGUGUCGUCUCAACGGAUUUUGAUGGGGCCCUAUUUAAAGUGAAUGCAGCUGUCUCUAAUGCAUAACCCCAAAACGAUAACGACAAAUCUAUAAGAGACAUCAUAGAUCGCACCAUUUCUAACAAAGUACGAUUACGACGUUCGGACACACCAUUACGUUGUGGUGUUCGAGGCGGUGUCAACUGUGAAACAAUUCCACAUUGUCUUAAGUGAGCACCAAACUCGAAACUCAGAUAUUCACCCCCACGAUCAGACCAUAGGAACUUGAUCUUCUUGUUACGAUGAUUUUCAACUUCACUCUGAAAUUGCUUGAACUUCUCAAACGUUUCAGACUUGUGCUUCAUCAAGUAGAUAUAUCCAUACCUACUCAAAUCGUCAGUGAAGGUGAGAAAAUAACAAUAUCAGCCGCGCGCCUCCACACUCAUCGGACAACACACAUCGGUAUGUAUGAUUUCCAUCAAGUCACUUGCACGCUCCAUUGUUUCGGAGAACGGAGUCUUAGUCAUCUUGCCCACGAGGCAUGGUUCGCACGUGUCAAGUGAUUCAAAGUCAAGUGACUCCAAAAGUCCAUCAGAAUGGAGUUUCUUCAUGCGCUUUACACCAAUAUGACCUAAGCGACAGUGCCACAAAAACAUGGCGCUAUCAUUGUUAACUCUAACUCUUUUGGUCUCAAUGUUAUGUAUUUGUGUAACACUGCUAUCAAGAUUCAAUAUGAACAAUCCUCUCACAUUGGGUGCAUGACCAUAAAAGAUACUACACAUAGAAAUAGAACAACCAUUAUUCUCUGACUUAAACAGGUAACCGUCUCGCAGUAAACAAGAUCCAGAUAUAAUGUUCAUGCUUAACGCAGGCACUAAAUAACAAUUAUUUAAGUUCAUAACUAUUCCUGAUGGUAAUGGAAGUGAAACUGUGCCGACGAUGAUUGCAUCAACCUUGGAACCAUUUCCCAUGCGCAUCAUCACUUCAUCCUUUGCCAGCCUUCGUUUAUUCCGCAGUUCUUGUUUCAAGUUGCAAAUAUGAGCAAUAGAACCGGUAUCAAAUACCCAGGCACUACUAUGAGAGUUGGUUAAGUACACAUCAAUAACAUGUAUAUCAAUAUACUUGAUUUUUCCAUGGCCGCCUUCUUAUCAGCCAAAUACUUGGGGGCAGUUGCGCUUCUAGUGACCCAGUCCCUUGCAAUAAUAACACUCUGUUUCAGGCUUAGGCCCAACCUUGGGUUGCUUCGUCGGAUUGGCAACAGGCUUGCCACUCUUAUUGGAGUUACCCUUCUUGCCUUUGCCGUUUCUCUUGAAACUAGUGGUCUUAUUGAACAUCAACACUUGAUGCUCUUUUCGAAGUUCUGACUCUGCGACUUUCAGCAUCGCGAAUAACUCGUCGGGUGACUUGUUCAUCCCUUGCAUUUUAUAGUUCAACACAAAGCUCUUGUAGCUUGGUGGCAGUGAUUGAAGAAUUCUGUCAGUGAUAGAUUCUUGCGGGAGUUCAAUGCCUAACUCAGCUAGACGGUUUGAGUACCCAGACAUUUUGAGCACAUGUUCACUGACAGACGAAUUCUCCUCCAUCUUGCAAGCAUAGAAUUUAUCAGAGGUCUCAUACCUCUCGAUCCGGGCGUUCUUCUGAAAGAUAAACUUCAACUCCUGGAACAUCUCAUAUGCUCCAUGACGCUCAAAGCGACGUUCAAGUCCCGGCUCUAAGCCAUACAAGACUGCACAUUUAACUACUGAGUAGUCCUCCUUACGUGUUAACCAGGCGUUCUUAACAUCUUGGUCAGCCGUAGCGGGUGGUUCAUCUCCUAGCGCAGCAUUAAGGACAUAAUCCUUCUUCCCAGCUUGCAGGAGCAACUUAAGAUUACGGGCCGAGUCUACAAAGUUGCUUCCAUCAUCUUUCAACUUAGCUUUCUCUAGGAACGUAUUAAAAUUCAGGGUGACUGUUGCGUGAGCCAUUGAUCUACAACACAAAUAUUGCAAAGUGGACUUAGACUAUGUCUAAGAUAAUUAGAGUUUAAUUAAUCAAAUUACUAAUAAACUCCCACUCAAAAAGUACAUCUCUCUAGUCAUUUGAGUGGUACAUGAUCCAAAUUCACUAACUCAAGUCCGAUCAUCACGUGAGUUGAGAAUAGUUUCAGUGGUAAGCAUCUCUAUGCUAAUCAUAUCAACUAUACGAUUCAUGCUCGAUCUUUCGGUCUCAUGUGUUCUGAGGCCAUGUAUGCACAUGCUAGGCUCAUUAAGUUUAACCCGAGUGUUCUGCGCGUGCAACUGUUUUGCACCCGUUGUAUGUGAACGUUGAGUCUAUCACACCCGAUCAUCACGUGGUGUCUCGAAACGACGAAAUGUCGCGACGGUGCACAGUUGUGGAGAACACAAUUUCAUCUUGAAAUUUUAGUGAGAGAUCACCUUAUAAUGCUACCGUCGUUCUUAGCAAAAUAGGGUGCAUAAAAGGAUUAACAUCACAUGUAAUUCAUAAGUGACAUGAUAUGGCCAUCAUCUUGUGCUUCUUGAUCUCCAUCACUUAAGCACCAGCAUGAUCUUCUUGUCACCGGCGCCACACCAUGAUCUCCAUCAUCAUGAUCUCCAUCAACGUGUCGCCAUCGAGGUUGUCAUGCUAUUUAUGCUAUUACUACUAAAGCUAUGACCUAGCAAUAUAGUAAACGCAUCUGCAAACACAAACGUUAGUUUAAAGACAACCCUAUGGCUCGUGCCGGUUGCCGUAGCAUCGACGUGCAAGUUGAUUUAACUAUUAGAACAUGAUCAUCUCAUACAUCCAAUAUAUCACAUCACGUCAUUAGCCAUAUCAUAUCACAAGCAUACCCUGCAAAAACAAGUUAGACGCCCUCUAAUUUGUUGUUGCAUGUUUUACGUGGCUGCUAUGGGUAUCUAGUAUGAUCGCAUCUUACUUAUCAAAAACCACAACGGAGAUGUGAAAAUUGCUAUUUAACCUCUCCAAGGACCGCCUCGGUCAAAAGCAAUUCAACUAAAGUUGAAGAAACAGGCACCCGCCAGUCAUCUUUAUGCAACGAGGUUGCAUGUCAAUUGAUGAAACCAGCCUCUCGUAAGCGUACGAGUUAUGUCAGUCCGGGCCGCUUCAAUCCAACAAUACCGCCGAAUCGAGAAAAGACUAAGGAGGGCAGCAAAUCGACCAUCACCAUCCACAAAACCUUUUGUGUUCUACUCGAGAUAACAUCUAUACAUGAACCUAGCUCUGAUACCACUGUUGGGGAACGUUGCAUGGGAAACAAAAAAUUUCCUACGCACACGAAUACCUAUCAUGGUGAUGUCCAUCUACGAGUGGAGAUUAGAUCUAUGUACCCUUGUAGACUACUCAGCGGGAAGCGUUAAGAAACGCGGUUGAUGUUGGAACAUCUUCACGUCCCUCGAACCGUCUCACAAACCGUCCCGCGAUCCGUCCCACAUCCGUUCCGAUCUAGCGCCGAACGAACGACACCUCCACGUUCAGCACACGUACAGCUCGACGAUGAUCUCGUCCUUCUUGAUCCAGCAAGCAAAAUCGAGAUCUAGAUGAGUUCUCCAGCAGCGUGACGGAGCUCCGGUGGUGGUGAUGAUCUACUCUUGUAGGGAUCCGCCCGAGCUUCGUAGAAAUCGAUCUAGAGGUAAAACUAUGUGGAAUAGGCUAGAGUUGCACGUGGCAAAGUUGUGUCUCAAAAAGCACUAAGCCACCACUAUAUAUAGGAGGAAGGGGAGGGGCUAGCCUUGAGGCACAAGGCUUCAAGGUGCGCCGGCCGCCAGGAGGAGGAGGACUCCUCCUCCAAUUCGGUUUGGGAAGGAGGAGUCCUCCUCUUCCUUCCCACCUCCCUCUUUCCUUUUUUCUUCUUCUUUUCUUUUGGUAUUUUCUUAUGUGGCACCAUAGCCCUCUUGGGCUGACUCCACCAGACCAAUAAGGACUUGGUGCACCACCCUAGGGCCUUGGUCUCACUCCCGGGUGGGUGGGCCCUUUCCGGUAAACACCCGGAACCCAUUCGUCACUCUCGGUACAUUACAGGAAUUGCCCAAUACUUUCCGGUGACCAAAUGAAACCAUCCUAUAUAUGAAUCUUCGUUUACGGGCCAUUCCGGUAACUCUCGUGACGUCCGUGAUCUCAUUCGGGACUCCUAACAACAUUCGGUAACCACACAUAUAACUCAACUAUACUAAAACAUCACCGAACCUUAAGUGUGCACACCCUGCGGGUUCGAGAACUAUGUAGACAUGACCCGAGGCACUCCUCGGUCAAUAUCCAAUAGAGGGACUUGGAUGCCCAUAUUGGAUCCUACAUAUUCUCCGAAGAUCUUAUCGGUUGAACCUCAGUGUCAAGGAUUCAUAUAAUCCUGUAUGUCAUUCCCUUUGUCCUUCGGUAUGUUACUUGCCCGAGAUUUGAUCGUCGGUAUCCGCAUACCUAUUUCAAUCUCGUUACCGGCAAGUCUAUUUACUCAUUCCGUAAUACAAGAUCCCGUGACUUACACUUAGUCACAUUGCUUGCAAGGCUUGUGUGUGAUGUUAUAUUACCGAGUGGGCCCCGAGAUACCUCUCCGUCACACGGAGUGACAAAUCCCAGUCUUGAUCCAUACUAACUCAAUGGACACCUUCGGAGAUACCUGUAGAGCACCUUUAUAGUCACCCAGUUACGUUGCGACGUUUGAUGCACACAAGGUAUUCCUUCGAUGCCAGUGAGUUAUAUAAUCUCAUGUUCAUAGGAAUAAAUACUUGACACGUAGAAAACAAUAGCAAUAAAAUGACACGAUCAAUAUGCUAUGUUGAUAGUUUGGGUCUAGUCCAUCACAUGAUUCUCCUGAUGAUGUGAUCCAGUUAUCAAGCAACAACACUUGCACAUAGUCAGAAAACCUUGACUAUCCUUGAUCAACUGGCUAGCUAACUAGAGGCUUGCUAGGGACAUCGUUUUGUCUAUGUACCCACACAUGUAUCUAUGAUUUCAUUCAAUACAAUUAUAGCAUGGAUAAUAAACGAUUAUCUUUGUAAUAGGAAAUAUAAUAAUAACUAUUUAUCAUUGCCUCUACGGCAUAUUUCCAACAGCGGCAACUUUGGCUGCGGGAGGAACCGGGGCGGUGGAGUGUUCGCGGGUGGCGGCGCUGUUGGCCGACAGCGGGCGCGCAACGGGGUGACCGGAGGGCGUAGUGCGGGGCGCCGGCGGGUCUCGGCCGGAGGGCGGCAACGCGACGCAGGUUUGACCAGAGCGGGGCUGGCGAAGGGGCUCUGGAUCGGGGCUCCUCCUCGAUGUGGAGCUCAGGCCCGAGGGGCGCGGAUGCGGCGGCGGCUUCGGGCCCGGGCGGGCUAGAGCGGUCCUGCGGCGCUGGUGGGAGGAGGAGAGGCUGCGCUAGGGUUUGAGGGGGCGCACGGAUCUUGAGGCAGGCCUGGGGCUGCCCGAUGUGGACGUGGGAAUGCCCAUUUAUAGAAGUUUUGUCUAGGGUUUGGGGUUUUCAUGGCCGAUUUUGACCGCGCGAUCGUGAUCAGACGUCCCCCGCCGCAGGGUGGGCUGGUUGGGCCGUGUAGAGUGGGUGUUGGGCUAAGACGAGAGGGAAAUGGUGCGACCCGGCGAUAGUGAUUUAAAACACCGAAAACGUCCGACGAUAACCCGCCGACGGUGCCGCUAUGGUCUACCGUUCGGCUAUCAAAGGGACUCCUAUUGCGGCGAAAAUUGGCACGCGACCUACCUACAUAAAAAUAAGACCGCACACCAAGUUUCAACCCAAUCCAAGAAUAUUUUAUACACACUUUUAAAAACAAAUAUUAGCGAUGCCGCGGGCGCAUGCGUGUGUGGUUGGUCUCAAAAUGGGCAACGACGAACACGGAGAGAACCGACAACUAAUAAUGGAUGCAGGUUUUGAAAACUGGCGGCAAUGGAGUGCCGAUGCAAUGCAGAUGAUGCGCAUGAUGCGAUGAUGAAUGCGACAGACAAACGAACCACACGACGGGAACGAAAUAAAAGGGGAACUUCUGGAGCGUCGGUCUCGGGAUGUCACACAUAUCACCGCAUGAAAUAUCCUCAAUUAUUUUAACAUAACAAUAACGUUUCCUUCAUCACAACAAACCAUACACAAAGGUAAUAUUCCAUGUUCAGAAUGCUUGCCUUGUUUGUGUAGAAAGGUAGGGUGCACUUCAAAACUUUUGAAAGUUUUCAAUCUUCCUCUUCAAAUUCCUAUUUUGAAAAUACUCAAAUCAACAUACCAUUCAAACAAAAGUAAAAAGUUAUUCGGAAAUUUUUCAAUUAAAUACUAAAAUAAACUAGAGAAAAAUUGAAAGAGGUGAGUAAAAGAAUCAACUCAUUUGGAGUUUUAUUUUAAAAGAUAUGACCAGUAAAAGAUUGGUCAAACUUCUGUUUUUAAAAUAAAUCAGAAAAGAAAGCGAUUCGGCUCACAUUAUGCUUUUACAGAAGGGAAUACAUACUUUGCACAAAUACACCUUCACUUAACGUGGCUCAAGCUCGGCUCUGUCGCUGACGAGUGGGGCCCUUCAUACAGGUUUGACUUUGGUCAAACCGGUCAUCUACCUCCUCCAAACAAGGGGAGGAGAGGCCUCCGGUGGCUCUUGACGGUGAUUGGGGGCACUACACCAAAAUCCGAGAGUAUCAACAUGCUCGGGGUCCCAAGGCAAUCCCAAAGGUGCGGGAUUUGGUCGGCGGAGAGCCUGGGAGCUCCAGCGGCUUCGAGGCGUGCGGACGGCGGCGCGGGUCCGCAAGGGAACUUUGCCCACGGCUCAUCUUGAGUGAAAUCGAGAGGGGGGAUGGGCUCGCGGUGCCAGUGUUAUUCCACCAAGGGGGAGAGCGAUGCAGGAUAAACUUCAUUGGCCUCGAAUUUAACUACAGGGGCGGCGGCCGAACCUCGGCCGGAGGUGAGGAAGACGACCUCCCCCGGUCGAUUGGUUGCAAUGGGAGCUUGAGAGGGGCCGGAGAGGUUCCUCUGAGGGUCUGGGAAAACCCGGGGGUCCCUUAUAUACGCAAUCAAGGUCGUUUCCGAGCGGCAACGGAUAACUCUGACGAACUAUUGCUAACAAGAGAUGUGGCGGCGACUAACGGGGACAGGCGCUAGCAGACGAGCUAGCGGAUGAGCUCGAGCUAUUCCAGGGGACAGUUGGCGCACUGGGCAAUCUGGAGGGCACAUGACGCGACUCUACGGGUCAGCAAGGGCCAAGGUGCAGGGUAGGUGGGGUGCGGCAGCUCGGGCGCUACGGCUGCAAUACGCGCGCUCUGCUCGCGCCCAGAGCACGCGCGCCAAGCGCUCGACUAAAUGCGACUACAAGCUAGAGGGCUUGGGUUGAGGUGCAACUGAACAGGAUAGCUAGGGUGGUUACCAUGGCUCUAUUAGACAUGUUGGUUUGGCACAAAAAGAAAUUCCACAAUGCAAACUAGAAACCAUGUCAAACCUGGCUAGGCACACAAGGUGCUCAACAGAAUGCCAUGGGCAUUUAGAGAGACUUUCUAGCCACCAAAAUUUCUAGUUCAAGGACUCUUUAGAUACUAAGGGUGAUGACAAGGUUACUUUGGGCAAAACAAAAACUUGUUAGUGCAUUAAUUUGAGAAAAAUAUUUCUGGGCAGCAACUUCAGGAGGUUAAAGUAGGGGCUUAAAAUAUCCAAAUGGGAUUGAUAUCCUCGACUUAAGGUUUGGUAGGAACUAUUAUCAGCAGUAAAAAUUUCAAAGGGAAUGGGGUAGAAUAAAAUAUGGUUCUAGUUCAAAACACCAAACUAGACCAGAAUAGAAAAGGGGUUGUUUUGCUUAAUUUUUUUAGUUUUUCAUAAAAGUGGUCACGGACAUUACAUGACACCUACAAAAUUUUGUAGAAUUUUUAAAUGAAGUUAUCAAAUGGUUUUAGUGCAAAUGAGACCAUUAAAGGAAUUUAAAAGGCAUUUUUAAAAGAGUGAAACUUGGCAAAAUAUUUAUCAAAAGUGUCCAUUGAAUUUGUCAAAGGAAAGGAAAUGUUUUGAUGCAAGCACUCAAGUCUCAUCAUAUUUUGCAAAACUUCUACUUGGAGGGAAAAAUUAUGAUUUAGGGUGAAGAAGAAGUUCUGGAAUCAAUAGAAAACUCUAGAGAUUUGAAGAUUAAACAAUCAUGGCCAAAAUUUAAUAAUUAAAAACAUGGUUAAAUUUUUGGGUGUUACAAACUCUAACCCCUUAAGAAAAAUCUCGACCUCGAGAUCUGCUAUAGACGUAGCAUUUUUUUACUCCUACCGCACUACAAUAUAAGCAUGAUAAUAAUACUUUAUAUAAGCAAUGUGACAUGGUUAACAUUGAUAAUUGGUGUAACUGGGGUGUGGUACUGGUGCUACUAAUAAAAUCUACAGUUGGGCAAUCGAGGCAUUGCUACUUACGGCUACGAGAAUUUUCAGAAAAGGAAAGAUUUCUAAGUCCGAAUUGUGCUUGUUGUACCCGAUUGCACAGUGCUCUCUCUGGCUGACAGGUGGACCCAUGGCCCACUGUCAAUCUCUUCUUCUUCCUUUUGCUCCCUCUUCCUUCUCUUCUCGCGCGUUUUUCACACUUUCUCCACUCGUGGCGUCUAGUGUGUAGGGUGUCUAGGGCCGUACUACGAUAGUGCACGACAUGCUAGCUGUCGGCACAGUGUGCACUCACCUUGCGGGCUAGUGCGUGUCGGCACUGCUCGCGGAUUCGCCUCCGAACACCGGUGAUCGAACGACUGAUACGUCUCCAACGUAUCUAUAAUUUUUGAUAGUUCCAUGCUAUUAUUUUGUCAAACUUUGGAUGUUUUGCAUGCCUUUUAUAUCUUUUUUGGGACUAACUUAUUAACUCAGUGCCAAGUGCCAGUUCCUGUUUUUUCCGUGUUUUUGACCCUUUUCGGAGGAGAAUAUUAAACGGAGUCCAAACGGAAUAGAACCUCUGAAAAUAUUUUUUUCGAAACAGAAGAUACACAGGGAGCUUGAGAACCAAGGCAAAGGGCACCAGGGGAGGCCACAAGCCCCCUAGGCGCGGCCUGGGGGGGGGCGCCUAGCAGGCUUGUGGGCCCCCUGUGGCUCCUCUGCCCUACUUCCUCCGCCUAUAAAUCUUUGAAAAAUCCAAAACCACGGGAGAGAUCCACGAAAAUACUUUUCCGCUUCCGCAAGCUUCUGUCUCCAUAAGAUCCCAUCUGGGGAACGUUCUGCUGCCCUGCCGGAGGGGGGAUUUGGAUACAGUGGGCUUCUUCAUUAACACCAUUGCCUCUCCGAUGAUGUGUGAGUAGUUCACCAUAGACCUUCGGGUCCAUAGCUAGUAGCUAGAUGGCUUCUUCUCUCUCUUGGAUCUUCAAUACAAAGUUCUCCAUGAUCUUCAUGGAGAUCUAUCCGAUGUAAUCCUCUUUUGCGGUGUGUUUGUCGAGAUUCGAUGAAUUGUGGAUUAAUGAUCAGAUUAUCUAUGAAUCUUAUUUGAGUUUCUUCUGAUCUCUUAUAUGCAGGAUUUCAUAUCCUUGUAAUUCUCUUCGAGUUGUGGGUUUUGUUUGGCCAACUUGAUCUAUGAUUCUUGCAAUGGGAGAAGUGCUUCGUUUUGGGUUCAUACCGUGCGGUGACCUCACCUAGUGACAGAAGGGGUAGCGAGGCACGCAUCGUGUUGUUUCCAUCAAGGGUAAAAAGAUGGGGUUUAUAUCUAUUGCAUGAAUCUAUCCCUCUACAUCAUGUCAUCUUGCUUAAGGCGUUACCCUGUUUGUCAUAAACUCAAUACACUAGAUGCAUGCUGGAUAGCGGUCGAUGUGUGGAGUGAUAGUUGUAGAUGCAUAAAGUAUCGGUCUACUUGUCUCCGGACGUGAUGCCUAUAUGUAUGAUCGUUGCCUUAGAUAUCGUCAUGAUUUUGCGCGGUUCUAGCAAUUGCUCGACAGUAAUUCGUUCACCCACCAUAAUAUUUGCUAUCUUGAGAGAAGCCUCUAGUGAACACUCUGCCCCCCGGGUCUACUUCACAUCAUAUUUUCGGCCCUACACUUUUACUUUGUUGCACUUUCCACCUUCAGAUCUCACCUUGCAAUCAAUCGUGAAGGGAUUGACAACCCCUUUGUAGCGUUGGGUGCAAGUUUGCUAUUUUUGCGCAGGUACAUUGGUGGCUCAUCUUGAUACUCCUACUGGAUUGAUAGCUUGGUUCUCAAACUGAGGGAAAUACUUAAUGCUACUGUGCUGCAUCACCCUUUCCUCUUCAAGGGAAAAAACCAACGCAAGCUCAAGAGGUAGCAAGAAGAAUUUUUGGCACCGCUGCCGGGGAGGAGGAUCAAGUCAAGAAUAGUCUCCCGUCAACGUGCCAAUUUCUGGCGCCGUUGCCGGGGAGCAUCAAGUGAAGCUUAUCCAAGUAAGUGUCUGAUACAUCUCCAACGUAUCUAUAAUUUUUGAUGGUUUCAUGCUAUUAUCUUGUCAAACUUUGGAUGUUUUGUAUGCCUUUUAUAUCUUUUUUGGGACUAACUUAUUAACUCAGUGCCAAGUGCCAGUUCCUGUUUUUUCCGUGUUUUUGACCCUUUUCAGAGGAGGAUUUUAAACGGAGUCCAAACGGAACGAAACUUCCAAAAAGAUUUUUUCCAAAACAGAAGAAGAUCGGGGAGCCUGAGAACCAGGGCAGGGGGCUACCAGGGACCCCACAAGCCCCCUAGCCGCGGCCAGGCGGGGGGCCCGCGCCUCCCAGGCUUGUUGGCUCCCUGGGCCACCUCUGCCCUAGGUCUUUCGCCUAUAUAUUCCCAAAAAUUCUAGAAAAAAUCAGGAGAUCAUCGAAAGUACUUUUCCGCCGCCGCAAGCUUAUGUCUGUGCAAGAUCCCAUUCGGGGCACGUUCUGGUGCCCUGCCAGAGGGGGGAUUCGGAUACGGAGGGCUUCUUCAUCAACACCAUGACCUCUCCGAUGAUGCGUGAGUAGUUCACCAUAGACCUACGGGUCCAUAGCUAGUAGCUAUAUGGCUUCUUCUCUCUCUUGGAUCUUCAAUACAAAGUUCUCCAUGAUCUUCAUGGAGAUCUAUCCGAUGUAAUCUUCUUUUGCGGUGUGUUUGUCGAGAUCUGAUGAAUUGUGGAUUUAUGAUCAGAUUAUCUAUGAAUCUUAUUUGAGUUUCUUGUGAUCUCUUAUAUGCAUGAUUUCAUAUCCUUGUAAUUCUCUUCGAGUUGUGGGUUUUGUUUGGCCAGCUUGAUCUAUGAUUCUUGCAAUGGGAGAAGUGCUUGGUUUUGGGUUCAUACCGUGCAGUGACCUCACCAAGUGAGAGAAGGGGUAGCGAGGCACGCAUCGUGUUGUUUCCAUCAAGGGUAAAAAGAUGGGGGUUUCAUCAUUGGUUUGAGAUUAUCCCUCUACAUCAUGUCAUCUUGCUUAAGGCGUUACUCUGUUCGUCAUGAACUCAAUACACUAGAUGCAUGCUGGAUAGCGGUCGAUGUGUGGAGUAAUAGUAGUAGAUGCAAAAAGUAUCGGUCUACUUGUCUCGGACGUGAUUCCUAUAUGUAUGAUCAUUGCCUGAGAUAUCAUCAUGACUUUGCGCAGUUAUAUCAAUUGCUCGACAGUAAUUUUUUCACCCACCGUAAUAUUUGCUAUUUUGAGAGAAGCCUCUAGUGAACACUAUGGUCCCCGGGUCUACCCCACACCAUAUUUUCAGCCUUACUCUUUUACUUCGUUGCACUUUCCGCCUUCAGAUCUCACUUUGCAAUCAAUCUUGAAGGGAUUGACAACCCCUUUAUAGAAUUGGGUGCAAGCUCAUUUGUGUUUGCGCAGGUACUCUAGACUUGACAAGAUUCUCCUACCGGAUUGAUACCUUGGUUCUCAAACUGAGGGAAAUACUUACUGCUCCUGUGCUGCAUCACCCUUUCCUCUUCAAGGGAAGAACAACGCAAGCAAGUCUCCGUCAACGUGUCAAUUUCUGGCGCUGUUGUUUGAGAAGUAGCAACAAGAAUUUCUCGCGCCGUUGCCGGGGAGAUUCAAGUCAAGAACUUAUGCAAGUAAGUGUCGCAAACUCAUCUCUUGCAUUUACUUUUUUUCCUCUCGCUUUCCUCUCCCCACUUCUAAAAAACAAAAAAUUACAAAAAUAUUUGCCCUUUUUGUUUGCCUUUUCGUUUGCCCUUUUCUUUCGCUUGCUUUCUGUUUCCUUGUGUGUUGUGCCUUCAAUAUGCUUCCAUCUUCACUUGCUGAAAAUCUAGUGAUAUGGAUCCUCACCCACUUGCUAAUCUCUUUAAGAGAUCCACUUAUGUGGAAUCAAUUGCUAGUGAGUUGAGUGCACUUGACUUUCUCUAUGGAGUUUUGCUUGAGAUGCGUGAAUCUGAAAAUCGUGAUGAAGAUAUUUAUGAAAUGAUUCACGAGGGCUCCUUGAAUGAAAAGCAUGAUUGCAAUGACUUAAUUAUAAAUUCUAUUAAUGACAAUCACGCUAAAAAUAUGCAAAACCCUAAGCUUGGGGAUGCUAGUUUUGCUAUGUCCAGUACUUGUUGCAAUGAUCGUGAUUGGGCUGAUAAUUUUUCUUAUGAUCUUGAAAAUUUGUUUAAUCCUCAUGAUGAAUUUGAUAUUUGCAAUAAUAUUGAAAGUGGGUUUGGAGAAGUCAUGACUCUAGUUGAUGAUAAUCCCACUAUUUUUGAAGAGCGUCAACUUUGCAUGCAUGUGGAUCAUGAAAAGAAUAUCCUUUGUGAUAGCUACAUUGUUGAAUUUGAUUAUGAUCCCACAUGUAAUUUCUUUGAGAGAGGAAAAUAUUGUGGUAGAAACUUUCAUGUUACCAAAUUACCUCUCGUUAUUUUGAGAUUGCUAUUGUCUCUUUCUUCUUCCUUGCAUAUGGUAGUUAUUGCUUGUCUUGAUAAUUUGUUUUCCUAUAAAAUGCCUAUGCAUAGGAAGUAUGUUAGACUUAGAUGUGAUUUUCACAUGCUUUAUGAUGCUCUCGUUGUGCUUCAAUUCUUGUCUUUUGUGUGAGCAUCAUUGAAUUAUCAAUGCCUAGCUAAGGGCGUUAAACAAUAGCGCUUGUUGGGAGGCAACCCAAUGAAUUUAUCUUUUUUUUCUGUUUUGUUCCGUCCACACCAUCAUAAUUCUGUUAUGAUUGUGUUUUUUGUGCUUCUUUUUGUGUUUGAGCCAAGCAAAAACCUUUAUGACUAGUCUUGGUGAUGGUUGUUUGAUCCUGCUGGAAAAAGACAGAAACUGUUCGCUCACGAGAUGAUUUUUCAUUUUUAUUCAGAAAGAGAUUUUGAGUUGAUUCAUUUUGCUGCUGGUUGAUAUACGUUAUGCCCAGGCAGUCGUAAUGUUUCAGAAUUUUUGAGGUACCAGAAGUAUACGAAGUAUACAGAUUGCUACAGACUGGUCUGUUUUUGACAGAUUCUAUUUUUGUUGAGUUGGUUGCUUGUUUUGAUGAAACUAUGGAUAGUAUCGGGGGGGGGGGGUACUAGCCAUGGAAAGGUAAGAAUACAGUAGCCUAACACCAAUAUAAAUAUAAAUCAAGAUUGCUACGGUACCUAAAGGGGUGGUAGUUUGUUUUCUUGUGCUAAUGAUAUCACGAGUUUCUGUUUAAGUUUUGUGUUGUGAAGUUUUCAAGUUUUGGGUGCUGUUCUCAUGGACAAAGAGAUAAGGAGUGAAAAGAGCUCAAGCUUGGGUAUGCCCAAGGCAUCCCAAGCCAAAUUCAAGGACACCAAAAAGCCUAAGCUUGGAGAUGCCCCGGGAAGGCAUCCCCUCUUCCGUCUUCAAUCCAUCGGUAACAUUACUUGGAGCUAUAUUUUUAUUCACCACAUGAUAUGUGUUUUUCUUGGAGAGUCUUGUAUCGUAGUAGUCUUUUCUUUUUGUUGUGUCACAAUCAUCCUUGCUGCACACCUUUUGAUAGAGACAUGCACUCAUCGUGAUUUUGCUAGAAUGCUCAUCGUGCUUCACUUAUAUCUUUUGAGCUAGAUAAAUUUGCUCUUUGUGCUUCACUUAGAUAUUUUAGAGCACGGUGGUGCGUGACUUGGUAGUUGGCUUGUUCUAUGAAAGUAGUCCCAAAGGUGAUAGGUACCCAAAGAGGAUAGAAAAAUAAACCUCCAUCUUCAUGUGCAUUGAGUAGAAAGAUAAGUCUUGAUUCCUCUCAAUUAGUUUUGAGACAUGGAUUUGGUAAUAUUAAGAGUUAUGUUAGUAGGGUGUUGUGAAUCUAGAAAUACUUGUGUUGAAGAUAGUGAUUCUUGUAGCAUGCACGUAUGGUGAACCGCUAUGUUAGGAAGUCAGAGCAUAAUUGAUCUAUUGAUUGUCAUCCUUUGUGUUGAGGUCGGGAUCGCGCGAUGGUUAACACCUACCAACCCUUCCCCUAGGAUUAUGCGUUUAGCACUUUGUUUUAAUUACUAAUAAAAACUUCCGCAACAAGUAUGUGAGUUCUUCAUGACUAAUGUGAGUCCAUGAUAUAGAUGCACUUUCACCUUCCACCAUUGAUAGCCUCUCUAGUGCCGCGCAACUUUCGCCGGUACACAAACCCACCAUAUGCCUUCCUCAAAACAGCCACCAUACCUACCUACUAUGGCAUUUUCAUAGCCAUUCCAAGAUAUAUUGCCAUGCAACUCCCAUCGUUCCGUCUCAUGACUUGUGUCGUCACUCUCAUAUUGCCUUUGCAUGAUCGUAAGAUAGCUAGCGAGAUGUUUCAACGUCAUACGCCAAGCUAGAUCGUUGCACAUCCGUGUACACUGCCGGAGGCAUUUCCUAUAGAGUCAUCAUCGUUCUAUGCUUUGAGCUGUGAGUAAAUAAAAGUGUGAUGAUCAUCAUUACUGGAGCAUUGAACCAUGUGAGGAAUUAAAAAAAAGAGGCCAAAGAGCCCAAAUAAAAAAAGGGGAGAGAAAAAAAGAGAGGCCCAAGUGCCCAAAAAAAAGAGAAAAAGAGAGAAGGGACAGUGCUACUAUCUUUUUCCACACUUGUGCUUCAUAAUAGCACCAUGUUCUUCAUGAUUGAGAGCCUCUUGUUUCGUCACCACCGUAUGCUAGUGGGAAUCUUUACUAUAUAACUUGGCUUGUAUAUGUUGGGGAACGUCGCAUGGGAAACAAAAAUUAUCCUACGCGCACGAAGACCUAUCAUGGUGAUGUCCAUCCACGAGAAGGGAUGUGUGAUCUACGUACCCUUGUAGACUGUACAGCAGAAGCGUUAGUGAACGCGGUUGAUGUAGUGGAACGUCCUCACGUCCCUCGAUCCGCCCCGCGAACCGUCCCGCGAUCAGUCCCACGAUCUAGUGCCGAACGGACGGCACCUCCGCGUUCAGCACACCUACAACUCGACGAUGAUCUCGGCCUUCUUGAUCCAGCAAGAGAGACGGAGAGGUAGAAGAGUUCCCCGACAGCAUGACGGCGCUCCGGAGGUUGGUGAUGAUCUUGUCUCAGCAGGGCUCCGCCCGAGCUUCGCAGAAACGCGAUCUAGAGGAAAAGCCGUGGAGGUAUGUGGUCGGGAUGCCGUGGAAAAGUCGUCUCAAAUCAGCCCUAAAACCUCCCUAUAUAUAGGGGGGAAGAGGGGGAGCCUUGCCUUGAGGUCCAAGGACCCCUAAGGGUUUCGGCCGAGCCAAGGGGGGAAAGUCUCCCCCCCAAACCGAGUCCAACUUGGUUUGGAAGGUGGUGUCCUUCUUCCCUUUCCCACCUCCUCCUUUUUUUUCUUUUCUCUUUGAUGUUCUUCCUAUGGCGCAUAGGGCCUUCUUGGGCUGUCCCACCAGCCCACUAAGGGCUGGUGUGCCACCCCCAAGGCCUAUGGGCUUCCCCGGGGUGGGUUGCCCCCCCGGUGAACUCCCGGAACCCAUUCGUCAUUCCCGGUACAUUCAUGGUAACUCCGAAAACCUUCCGGUAAUCAAAUGAGGUCAUCCUAUAUAUCAAUCUUCGUUUCUGGACCAUUCCGGAAACCCUCGUGAUGUCCGUGAUCUCAUCCGGGACUCCGAACAGCAUUCCGUAACCAACCAUAUAACUCAAAUACGCAUAAAACAAUGUCGAACCUUAAGUGUGCAGACCCUGCGGGUUCGAGAACUAUGUAGACAUGACCCGAG